rnacentral:rRNA from 1 species
UACGUAGGGCGCGAGCGUUGUCCGGAAUCAUUGGGCGUAAAGAGCUCGUAGGCGGCCGGUUGCGUCUGCUGUGAAAUCCCGGGGCUUAACCCCGGGCGUGCAGUGGAUACGGGCUGGCUGGAGGCAGGCAGGGGAGAAUGGAAUUCCCGGUGUAGCGGUGGAAUGCGCAGAUAUCAGGAGGAACACCGAUGGCGAAGGCAGGUCUCUGGGCCAUUACUGACACUGAGAAGCGAAAGCAUGGGGAGCGAACAGG